rnacentral:rRNA from 1 species
AUACAUGCAGUCGAGCGGACAGAAGGGAGCUUGCUCCCGGAUGUUAGCGGCGGACGGGUGAGUAACACGUGGGUAACCUGCCUGUAAGACUGGGAUAACUCCGGGAAACCGGAGCUAAUACCGGAUAGUUCCUUGAACCGCAUGGUUCAAGGAUGAAAGACGGUUUCGGCUGUCACUUACAGAUGGACCCGCGGCGGAUUAGCUAGUUGGUGGGGUAAUGGCUCACCAAGGCAACGAUGCGUAGCCGACCUGAGAGGGUGAUCGGCCACACUGGGACUGAGACACGGCCCAGACUCCUACGGGGAGGCAGCAGUAGGGAAUCUUCCGCAAUGGACGAAAGUCUGACGGAGCAACGCCGCGUGAGUGAUGAAGGUUUUCGGAUCGUAAAGCUCUGUUGUUAGGGAAAAAACAAGUGCGAGAGUAACUGCUCGCACCUUGACGGUACCUAACCAGGAAAGCCACGGCUAACU